UACGGGGGGGGCAAGCGUUGUUCGGAAUCACUGGGCGUAAAGGGCGUGUAGGCGGUUAGUUAAGUCUGGCGUGAAAGCUCUCGGCUAAACCGGGAGAGGUCGUUGGAUACUGGCUGACUAGAGGACGGUAGAGGCGUGUGGAAUUCCGGGUGUAGUGGUGAAAUGCGUAGAGAUCCGGAGGAACACCAGUGGCGAAGGCGACACGCUGGGCCGUACCUGACGCUAAAGCGCGACAGCAUGGGGAGCAAACGGG
rnacentral:rRNA from 1 species